AGUUCAUAAGAGCCUUGGCCUGCCUAAUCUCACUCUUUCACAGACACUGUGUGAGGAAACACAUGUGGUCACAAUCGUUUGCAUGCUGCGAUCAUCAUUUGCUGUUGUUCUGUUGCAUGAACAGCUCUUCGCAGCACCGCUGCAGACUCUGAUUGGUCUGGGGAGUCACAGAGAGGAAGUGCAGCGCAGCUUUCUCCAAAACCUUGGAUCUGGUGGUUCCAAAUGCUCUGACAUAGUCUUUUAGGUUAGAAAGAAAGAAGAGGAAAUAUGUCUGGCCCACCACCACCGCCCCCUCCUGGCCCUCCUCCAACCUUUUCACAGGCAAACACAGAGAGAAGCCAAACCUGAGCAGAGGUGAGAAGGA